rnacentral:rRNA from 1 species
CCCGCUGAACUUAAGCAUAUCAAUAAGCGGAGGAAAAGAAACUAACAAGGAUUCCCCUAGUAACUGCGAGUGAAGCGGGAAGAGCUCAAAUUUGAAAUCUGGCGCGCCUUUGGCCGUCCGAGUUGUAGUCUGGAGAAGCGUUUUCCGUGUUGGACCGUGUAUAAGUCUCUUGGAACAGGGCGUCAUAGAGGGUGAGAAUCCCGUCUUUGGCACGGACUACCAAUGCUUUGUGAUGCGCUCUCAAAGAGUCGAGUUGUUUGGGAAUGCAGCUCAAAAUGGGUGGUAAAUUCCAUCUAAAGCUAAAUACAGGCGAGAGACCGAUAGCGAACAAGUACCGUGAGGGAAAGAUGAAAAGCACUUUGGAAAGAGAGUUAAACAGUACGUGAAAUUGCUGAAAGGGAAACGCUUGAAGUCAGUCACGUCUGCCAGGACUCAGCCUUGCUUCUGCUUGGUGUACUUUCUGGUUUGAUGGGCCAACAUCAAUUUCGACCGUUGGAGAAAGGCUUUGGGAAUGUGGCACCUUCGGGUGUGUUAUAGCCCUUUGUUGUAUACGACGGUUGGGAUUGAGGGCUGCAGCACGCCUUCAUGGCCGGGGUUCGCCCACGUACGUGCUUAGGAUGUUGGCAUAAUGGCUUUAAGCGACCCGUCUUGAAACACGG